rnacentral:rRNA from 1 species
UACGAAGGGGGCGAGCGUUAUUCGGAAUCACUGGGCGUAAAGCGUGCGUAGGCGGUUUUGUAAGUUAGGAGUGAAAGCCCAGGGCUCAACCCUGGAAUUGCUCUUAAAACUACAAGGCUAGAAUGUCGGAGAGGAUAGCGGAAUUUCCAGUGUAGCAGUGAAAUGCGUAGAUAUUGGAAGGAACACCAGUGGCGUAAGCGGCUAUCUGGACGACUAUUGACGCUGAGGCACGAAAGCGUGGGGAUCAAACAGG